AGACCCGAAACCCGGUGAUCUAGCCAUGGGCAGGUUGAAGGUUGGGUAACACUAACUGGAGGACCGAACCGACUAAUGUUGAAAAAUUAGCGGAUGACCUGUGGCUGGGGGUGAAAGGCCAAUCAAACCGGGAGAUAGCUGGUUCUCCCCGAAAGCUAUUUAGGUAGCGCCUCGUGAAUUCAUCUCCGGGGGUAGAGCACUGUUUCGGCUAGGGGGCCAUCCCGGCUUACCAACCCGAUGCAAACUGCGAAUACCGGAGAAUGUUAUCACGGGAGACACACGGCGGGUGCUAACGUCCGUCGUGAAGAGGGAAACAACCCAGACCGCCAGCUAAGGUCCCAAAGUCAUGGUUAAGUGGGAAACGAUGUGGGAAGGCCCAGACAGCCAGGAUGUUGGCUUAGAAGCAGCCAUCAUUUAAAGAAAGCGUAAUAGCUCACUGGUCGAGUCGGCCUGCGCGGAAGAUGUAACGGGGCUAAACCAUGCACCGAAGCUGCGGCAGCGAACGUAUCACUUAAAGCGAUUCAGCGGAUGACGAUUGACGGAGC
rnacentral:rRNA from 1 species